CAUUGCCACAUGAUCUCGCCACAUAGCAGGGAAUGACCAGUGCCUCCUUCGGCCUUCUCUUAAUGAAAGGCCGGAGUUGCAUGGUCUCCAUUACUACUCAGCGUCAGUAUCAGCUUGGUGUGGACAUACGACUCGAGGAGGUCUGAAAAUAUUGGCAGACGAAAUUCGCUUCUUUCAAUUGAACACUGGCGCUAAGAUCCCUUCGGUAGGGAUGGGGACAUGGCGGGCGGAUGCUGGACGCGUCGGCGGAGCCUUGACCACUGCCAUUAAGGAGAGGCUUGGUAAGGGUACAGCAUAUGUCCAUGAGACCUUUGGUGCCUACAGGACCGUUGAAGAACUUUGGGAUGGCGAGCUGUGAACAGACAUUGGGUUUCUUCUAGUAUAUUGUGGUUUUCAUUGGCCUUAUUAAUUACAAAUUACUUGAUUUUCAAUGCGUUGAGGUUAGAGUGCUUUUGGCCUCAGAAAUUAAAGUAAACUUGUCGGGGAAAAUUAUUGAUUUUUAAUUGUUUUAUAAUUUAAUCAUGAAGUUGCUUAAACGUGGAAUUACUCGAUUACUAAUUGUAAUAAAUAGUUUAUGAUGUGUUCUAAAUUUUU